CUUGAACGCUGGCGGCAGGCUUAACACAUGCAAGUCGAGCGGAGAUGAGGUGCUUGCACCUUAUCUUAGCGGCGGACGGGUGAGUAAUGCUUAGGAAUCUGCCUAUUAGUGGGGGACAACAUUCCGAAAGGAAUGCUAAUACCGCAUACGCCCUACGGGGGAAAGCAGGGGAUCUUCGGACCUUGCGCUAAUAGAUGAGCCUAAGUCGGAUUAGCUAGUUGGUGGGGUAAAGGCCUACCAAGGCGACGAUCUGUAGCGGGUCUGAGAGGAUGAUCCGCCACACUGGGACUGAGACACGGCCCAGACUCCUACGGGAGGCAGCAGUGGGGAAUAUUGGACAAUGGGCGGAAGCCUGAUCCAGCCAUGCCGCGUGUGUGAAGAAGGCCUUUUGGUUGUAAAGCACUUUAAGCGAGGAGGAGGCUACCUGGAUUAAUACUCUAGGAUAGUGGACGUUACUCGCAGAAUAAGCACCGGCUAACUCUGUGCCAGCCGCCGCGGUAAUAC
rnacentral:rRNA from 1 species